GACGGGGCGGGCCGGAGGCUGGCGUCCACGCCUUCCCAGCAUUCGGCUCGCCGCGUCGU
rnacentral:precursor_RNA from 1 species